UUUCUUUUUUUAGGUCUUUCCACUUUUCUGUGGAAAGACCUAUUGUUUUUCUUCUGAUUAUUUUUUUUUUUCUUCCGCCUAAUUUUGUUCUUGCGAUAAACAUUUGUUUCGCAAUAUGUCGCUUAGAUAUUUGGUAUAUGAUAUCGAACAGUUUAUGCGCUUUUGAAAUUUACCCUGCGUAAACGAAUACUUUUCUUUGUAGGAGUUAUCUCCCCAAACACUGUUUUCCUUGUUAGCGCAACUCCUUCGCAACCGUAAAAUAUUAUGACAAAUUUAUUUUACAAAAUUGCUCGUUAUAUCCUUCGCAUGAUUUGUCCUAUUUUGACCGAAGCGAUAUGAACGUUCCAUAUGAGAGUUAUUUCCCCUUAUGCAUUUGUUAUAAGUGAUAUGCAUUUCUAUCUUGUAAACCAUAAGUGCUAGAGACCUAGAAUCUUUAGAUUUAAGGUCCUGGGUCCAAAAAAAUGAAAAUUAGGUCAAGGUCAAAGGUCAAGGUCAAAUUCUAAAUUUUGAUUUUGGCUUAUUUUCACUCUUUUCCAUUAUUUUUAUAAGAUUUCGACAAAUUAUUUUUACUAAAUUGUUAGUUGCGACAUG
rnacentral:lncRNA from 1 species